rnacentral:rRNA from 1 species
AGUCGAACGAAGUAGCAAUACUUAGUGGCAGACGGGUGAGUAACAUGUAGGUAUCUUCCCUUUGGUGAGGAAUAACACGAGGAAACUUGUGCUAAUACCUCAUAAGUCUUUACGGAGAAAGCUUUAUGCGCCGAUGGAUGAGCCUGCACUUGAUUAGUUUGUUGGUAGGGUAAUGGCCUACCAAGACAAUGAUCAAUAGCUGAUUUGAGAGGAUGAUCAGCCACAUUGGGACUGAGACACGGCCCAAACUCCUACGGGAGGCAGCAGUAGGGAAUCUUGCACAAUGGGGGAAACCCUGAUGCAGCGAUGCCGCGUGAGUGAAGAAGGCCUUUGGGUUGUAAAGCUCUUUCGUCGGGGAAGAAAAUGACUGUACCCGAAUAAGAAGGUCCGGCUAACUUCGUGCCAGCAGCCGCGGUAAUACGAAGGGACCUAGCGUAGUUCGGAAUUACUGGGCUUAAAGAGUUCGUAGGUGGUUAAAAAAGUUGGUGGUGAAAUCCCAGAGCUUAACUCCGGAACUGCCAUCAAAACUUUUUAGCUAGAGUAUGAUAGAGGAAAGUAGAAUUUCUAGUGUAGAGGUGAAAUUCGUAGAUAUUAGAAAGAAUACCAAUUGCGAAGGCAGCUUUCUGGAUCAUUACUGACACUGAGGAACGAAAGCAUGGGUAGCGAAGAGGAUUAGAUACCCUCGUAGUCCAUGCCGUAAACGAUGUGUGUUAGACGUUGGAAAUUUAUUUUCUGUGUCGCAGCGAAAGCAAUAAACACACCGCCUGGGGAGUACGACCGCAAGGUUAAAACUCAAAUGAAUUGACGGAGACCCGCACAAGUAGUGGAGCAUGUGGUUUAAUUCGAAGAUACGCGCAGAACCUUACCAACACUUGACAUGUUCGUCGCGACUUUAAGAGAUUAAAGUUUUCGGUUCGGCCGGACGAAACACAGGUGCUGCAUGGCUGUCGUCAGCUC